AAAGUCGUGAGGCGGGAGCAAAUCACAAGACACAGUCUCAGUUCAGAUUGUAGGCUGAAACUCGCCUAUAUGAAGUCGGAAUUGCUAGUAAUCGCGGAUCAGCAUGCCGCGGUGAAUACGUUCCCGGGCCUUGUACACACCGCCCGUCACACCAUGAGAGUCGAUAACACCCGAAGCCUGUAGUCUAACCUUAGGGGGGACGCAGUCGAAGGUGGGAUUGAUAAUUAGGGUGAAGUCGUAACAAGGUAUC
rnacentral:rRNA from 1 species